GGGAGCGGGGCGGGAGCCGUCGCCCCAGAGGUCCCCGCGGCUCCUCGAGGAUGUGACGUUCCUCGGCGCGCUGGGUCACCUGCUCCUGUUUGGCAGCUCUUGGCGGCCCUCCGGUCCCCAGGUUGUCAUGCGCCUGGCAGCGGGAGGUAGGAGCCGGUUGCUGGCACAGGGAUGAGUGGAAAAGGCGGACCGGAGGCCGAGGAGGGGCGUGGGCCUGGCCCGGUGCAGCCGCUCAGUGGGACGGACUGCAAGUGUGGCUCAGUCACCCAGGACUCCUUCAGGACAGGUGGGGGCCCUGCUGGACCGGCCCAGGCGCCGUCCUCAGUUCUGGAGCUUCUGGAAGUGAGCGGAGAGCCUGGGAGGGGCUGCCUGACGCCCCACAGCCUGCAGGGCAGCAGCUGCGGCAGCCCCGGGCCCUCGGUGCGGAGGGUCUGCGGGAGCCUUCCGACGGAACCAGCACAUCAUCGCAAGGGGUGCGGGGUAGCCCUGCAGUUGUGUGGGGGGUGUAUACACGAUUCUUACAAUAAAGUAAUCCAUGUUUA